rnacentral:misc_RNA from 1 species
UCCAUAUUCAGGUUUCCUGCGAUCCUCCGUUCAGCUUCCCUCACACAUUCGAGGACCACCGGCUUUCCGUUAUCGUCUCGAUAUGCACCUACUCCAACAUUGACUUUGUUAGGACUCGGAUCGGCCAAGAAAGCUUCAGUAACGCCUAGAAUCGGAUCUUUUGGAGCCGGUUCUACGCUCUUCCACCAAGACGACAUGGAUCUAGCUCCGACGCCGAAGCAUCUCAGGCCGCUCUGGUCUAAAACCUUCCUCGAAAUCGCUGCUUGCAACGCCAUGAACAUCAACAAUACACUGCUAGCUCUCUCUCACUAUUCUCUCUACAAAAUCCGACGGAAAUGCGAGAGGGAAAGGAGCGGACGAGAUUUUGUGGAGGCGCGAAAACAGAGCGGUUUCGGG